GAGAGGGAGAGAGACCUAUCUCUAUUCUGAAAUGGACUGACAUAGAUAACAAGUUAAACGUACAAACAAUCGAUGAAAUGGAACCAGGGAAUAUGUCCGCGUCUCUCUUUCUUUGUCGGUCACCCAUCGCCGUUGGACGAGUUCAACACGGAACGCGAUCGCAGCUUUCUGGUAGCUGACAUUUUAGCUUAGGCUCAGUCAGAAGAAAAGAACGCAAAUAAAGGGUAGCUGAGAUUUUAGGGUGGAUUCCUUUUCUGCUCAGAGGCGUCACACAGACAGAGAGAGAGAGAGAGAGAGAGAGAGAGAGGCUUAAUGAGAACGAGCCUAACCUUCACGGAAAGCUUGCUUUUGUGGCGGCUUGGUGGGAGCAAAAUUCAACUUGCAUAUCGACGGGCGUUUGUAUUUACGCGUGUCUAUGUAUGUGUGUACAUAUAUUAUAUAUAUGUGAAUAAUUGAAUAUACCUAACUGA